rnacentral:rRNA from 1 species
UACGAAGGGGGCUAGCGUUGCUCGGAAUUACUGGGCGUAAAGCGCACGUAGGCGGGCUUUCUAAGUCGGGGGUGAAAUCCUGGAGCUCAACUCCAGAACUGCCUUCGAUACUGGAGUGCUUGAGUCCGGGAGAGGUGAGUGGAACUGCGAGUGUAGAGGUGAAAUUCGUAGAUAUUCGCAAGAACACCAGUGGCGAAGGCGGCUCACUGGCCCGGUACUGACGCUGAGGUGCGAAAGCGUGGGGGAGCAAACAGG